rnacentral:rRNA from 1 species
CCUACGGGGGACAGCAGUGGGGAAUAUUGCACAAUGGGGGAAACCCUGAUGCAGCGACGCCGCGUGAGUGAAGACGUAAUUCGUUAUGUAAAGCUCUAUUAGCAGGGAAGAAAAUGACGGUACCUGAGUACGAAGCCCCGGCUAACUACGUGCCAGCAGCCGCGGUAAGACGUAGGGGGCAAGCGUUAUCCGGAUUUACUGGGUGUAAAGGGAGCGUAGACGGCAGUGCAAGUCUGGAGUGAAAGGCGGGGGCUCAACCCUCGGACUGCCCUGGAAACUGUACGGCUGGAGUGCAGGAGAGGUAAGUGGAAUUCCUAGUGUAGCGGUGAAAUGCGUAGAUAUUAGGAAGAACACCAGUGGCGAAGGCGGCUUACUGGACUGUAACUGACGUUGAGGCUCGAAAGCGUGGGGAGCAAACAGGAUUAGAUACCCUUGUAGUC